GGGGAUGUGGCUCAAGUGGUAGCGCGCUCGCCUGGCAUGCGAGGGGUGCUGGGUUUGAUCCUCAGCACCACA
rnacentral:tRNA from 1 species